ensembl:lncRNA
AGACACUAUAGAAAUUCUUCAUUUGAAGCUAAGCACUGGACACUUAAUAUAUUGACCUUGUUUGGUUUAACUUAAUACUUUAGAUGAUGUGUUUAGAGUCAAGAAUAAACAUUUGGUUAAAGAGAGACUGACUCCCCAUAAUGAAACACUCAGUUUGCUGGAAAAGGGACAGGACUUCAUUUAGACAUCUGAUGAUGUGUUUAAUUCACAGGUUAGGUCUUUAGACAAGUAAGACUCCCUUGUGACUUUGUUUCAGGCAUCAUUCAGUGCUAAGGAAACACAAGGCAGCUGUAAGGCUACCAAAUAAGGUGGGAUUUCAGAUGGAGGAGCACAGAGAAGUGCCUUGCAACACUAAUAAGGUCAUGAGGAUUUUCUUUCAUAAGCAUAUUGUGUUCUUGGUAAGAGGAAGGAUAUCUACAUAUAGUCUUUGUUUCUCACAGACGCUUUCCCAAACUCUGAUAUCAACUACUUGUACACAACAGCAUGUGGUUCGUCUCAGGAAAGUUCUCAGCAGUUGAAAUGCAUCUCACCACUAACUCACACCAAUGACCA